AACGAACGCUGGCGGCAUGCCUAACACAUGCAAGUCGAACGAUCCCUUCGGGGAUAGUGGCGCACGGGUGCGUAACGCGUGGGAACCUGCCCUUAGGUUCGGAAUAACUCAGAGAAAUUUGAGCUAAUACCGGAUAAUGUCUUCGGACCAAAGAUUUAUCGCCUUUGGAUGGGCCCGCGUUGGAUUAGCUAGUUGGUGGGGUAAAGGCCUACCAAGGCGACGAUCCAUAGCUGGUCUGAGAGGAUGAUCAGCCACACUGGGACUGAGACACGGCCCAGACUCCUACGGGAGGCAGCAGUGGGGAAUAUUGGACAAUGGGCGAAAGCCUGAUCCAGCAAGGCCGCGUGAGUGAUGAAGGCCUUAGGGUUGUAAAGCUCUUUUACCCGGGAUGAUAAUGACAGUACCGGGAGAAUAAACCCCGGCUAACUCCGU
rnacentral:rRNA from 1 species